GAUACAUAUGACUGCAGAAUUAACAGUCUGUUCGGUUCUUGAUAUGUUCGGAUGCGCCGACAAGCUUGCAACCAUAGUUUAAUCUAAUUCUGUCGAUGCUUCUUUUUAAGAUUACGUUCUUACUCCUCUCUAAGCAAGUUCUUUCCUUGCGCUGUCAUAUUGUAAAUGCUUACAGUAUGUAAAAAUUAAUUAGAACAUAUUAUAUGUUAGUAAAUCUAGAUA
rnacentral:lncRNA from 1 species